CUUUGCCUGAGCAUCAGUUUCGGGCAGAGCCGGGAUGAGGGGAACUUGCAUGCACGCGCCUAAUGCGUUUGCCCUCCCCUUUGGGGAAGAAAGCCUUGUCCUCAAACACAUCAGAUGAGAAAACAGAGAUUAAAUCACUUGUCCGGGACCCUCCAGGCAGUUGAGAUGCAGGCUCAGUUCGUCUGACCCCAAAGGCCAGGCUCUUUUCUGAGCAAACCGACCAGGUCAGGCGCUGACCAGGCUGGAUCUGGCCCUGGGAUACGUGGCGUCUGGCUUGAGUGAGGCUUCAAACAUCAGAGAUUUUUACAGAAAUCCGGCUUCUGGAUGGUAGACUUGGGAAAUCUGGCAACACAGAGCCCUCCUUCCACGUGGCAGUCAUGAGCUGGAGCUGCGUGGAGGCCCAGACCUCCGGACAAGCCUCCCUGAUGAGGAAACUGGCCCAGAGACAGGACAGGCCUUCCUCCACGUCUCACAGGCAGCUGUCCUGACUUACAGCCGGUGCCCACCAGUGUCUCCACCUCUGAGGAAGCCCCACCCGCAGUCUCUCAGGAAUGCAAAUAUUGGCCCAAACCAUAUAAUUCUUGGUGAAAACUAGAAAAAAAUAUCAUUUUCUUUAGCCAAACAGAGCCCUGCAUCAGCACCCAUGCCAU